rnacentral:rRNA from 1 species
CAAUAGCGUAUAUUAAAGUUGUUGCGGUUAAAAGCUCGUAGUUGGAUUUCUGCCGAGGACGACCGGUCCGCCCUCUGGGUGAGUAUCUGGCUUGGCCUGGGCAUCUUCUUGGAGAACGUAGCUGCACUUGAUUGUGUGGUGCGGUAUCCAGGACUUUUACUUUGAGAAAAUUAGAGUGUUUCAGGCAGGCUUUCGCCGGAAUACAUUAGCAUGGAAUAAUGGAAAAGGACUUCAACCUCUUCUGUUGGUCUGAGAGGCUGUAGUAAUGAUUAAUAGGGAUAGUUGGGGGCAUUAGUACUUAACUGUCAGAGGUGAAAUUCUCCGAUUUGUUAAAGACUAACUUAUGCGAAAGCAUUUGCCAAGGAUGUUUUCAUUAAUCAAGAACGAAAGUUAGGGGAUCAAAGACGAUCAGAUACCAU